rnacentral:rRNA from 1 species
AGCAGCCGCGGUAAUUCCAGCUCCAAUAGCGUAUAUUAAAGUUGUUGCAGUUAAAAAGCUCGUAGUUGAAUUUCGGGGUUAGUAGGUUGGUCAUGCCUCUGGUAUGUACUGGUCUCACUGAUUCCUCCUUCCUGAUGAGCCGUAAUGCCAUUAAUUUGGUGUUGCGGGGAAUUUGGACUGUUACUUUGAGAAAAUUAGAGUGUUUAAAGCAAGCUAACGCUUGAAUACAUUAGCAUGGAAUAAUGAAAUAGGACGUUCGAUCCUAUUUUGUUGGUUUCUAGGAUUGACGUAAUGAUUAAUAGGGAUAGUUGGGGGCAUUAGUAUUCAAUUGUCAGAGGUGAAAUUCUUGGAUUUAUUGAAGACUAACUACUGCGAAAGCAUUUGCCAAGGAUGUUUUCAUUAAUCAAGAACGAAAGUUAGGGGAUCGAAGACGAUCAGAUACCGUCGUAGUCUUAACC